GAGGGUUUAGUUGAGUGGUUUAACAUCGUCUUUACACGACGGACACAGGGGUUCAAAUCCCUUAACUCUUA
rnacentral:tRNA from 1 species